rnacentral:rRNA from 1 species
GCUCAGGAUGAACGCUAGCUACAGGCUUAACACAUGCAAGUCGAGGGGCAGCAUGGUCUUAGCUUGCUAAGGCCGAUGGCGACCGGCGCACGGGUGAGUAACACGUAUCCAACCUGCCGUCUACUCUUGGACAGCCUUCUGAAAGGAAGAUUAAUACAAGAUGGCAUCAUGAGUCCGCAUGUUCACAUGAUUAAAGGUAUUCCGGUAGACGAUGGGGAUGCGUUCCAUUAGAUAGUAGGCGGGGUAACGGCCCACCUAGUCUUCGAUGGAUAGGGGUUCUGAGAGGAAGGUCCCCCACAUUGGAACUGAGACACGGUCCAAACUCCUACGGGAGGCAGCAGUGAGGAAUAUUGGUCAAUGGGCGAGAGCCUGAACCAGCCAAGUAGCGUGAAGGAUGACUGCCCUAUGGGUUGUAAACUUCUUUUAUAAAGGAAUAAAGUCGGGUAUGCAUACCCGUUUGCAUGUACUUUAUGAAUAAGGAUCGGCUAACUCCGUGCCAGCAGCCGCGGUAAUACGGAGGAUCCGAGCGUUAUCCGGAUUUAUUGGGUUUAAAGGGAGCGUAGAUGGAUGUUUAAGUCAGUUGUGAAAGUUUGCGGCUCAACCGUAAAAUUGCAGUUGAUACUGGAUAUCUUGAGUGCAGUUGAGGCAGGCGGAAUUCGUGGUGUAGCGGUGAAAUGCUUAGAUAUCACGAAGAACUCCGAUUGCGAAGGCAGCCUGCUAAGCUGCAACUGACAUUGAGGCUCGAAAGUGUGGGUAUCAAACAGGAUUAGAUACCCUGGUAGUCCACACGGUAAACGAUGAAUACUCGCUGUUUGCGAUAUACGGCAAGCGGCCAAGCGAAAGCGUUAAGUAUUCCACCUGGGGAGUACGCCGGCAACGGUGAAACUCAAAGGAAUUGACGGGGGCCCGCACAAGCGGAGGAACAUGUGGUUUAAUUCGAUGAUACGCGAGGAACCUUACCCGGGCUUAAAUUGCAGAUGAAUUACGGUGAAAGCCGUAAGCCGCAAGGCAUCUGUGAAGGUGCUGCAUGGUUGUCGUCAGCUCGUGCCGUGAGGUGUCGGCUUAAGUGCCAUAACGAGCGCAACCCUUGUUGUCAGUUACUAACAGGUGAUGCUGAGGACUCUGACAAGACUGCCAUCGUAAGAUGUGAGGAAGGUGGGGAUGACGUCAAAUCAGCACGGCCCUUACGUCCGGGGCUACACACGUGUUACAAUGGGGGGUACAGAGGGCCGCUACCACGCGAGUGGAUGCCAAUCCCAAAAACCUCUC